GUGACCAAUCCAGGGUGUAUCCUGCCUCUUGCCCAUAGACUGCUGGAGAUAGGCACCAGCUCCCCCGCGACCCACUAUGGAAUAAGCGGUAGAAAAUGACUGACUGACUGACAGAUUACUAAUUACUAGUCACUAAACAGUCUGAUCAAUUCAAAAAUAAGUAAAGUAUCAAAGCAGGCUUUAUUUCUAGGAAGUCUUUGGGGGAAUUAAACACUGCACAUGUGAUUUUGUUAAGAAAAAUUAUUUCAUCCUUUAAACAUGGGAUUUGAUUAUGAAUUUUUCUAGAGUUUUCAAUGUGAGAUUAUUCUACUGCAUUAAAAAAUUUAUUUGUUUUUGGGGCUUUUUUUUAAACACCUUUACCACAAGGUCCCAAUAAGUGUGGAGAAAUGCUGGCUAUUCUCUGGUAAGAUGCUGUGUUAGUGAACCUUCAGUAAAGACAUUCUCAUUCAGAAGUGACAUUUGCUGCCUUCCGGUUCUCAUCUUCUUCAGGGACAUGCUUGUUUGUUUCAGUAAGACAAUGCUAAGUCAUAUUUUGCUUAAAUGGACAACAGGAUUUCUCAGAAAGAAGCAAGUCCAGAUGGCAAACUGACCUGCAAAUGAGACCAAAGCAAAAUAAAACAUAAUUGGUCUACAGUCGUAUAAUAAAAUAUUAGACUUGUGUCUAUGGAGAAAAUCCUCUCACCUCUCACAAAUAUAAAUAGGUUUAUUAAAUGGUUCAUUUUUAAUCCUUUCUGGGAGACCAUAAAGGAAACCUGUGAUGAGUAAUAACAAAUGUUACUGCGCUUGUGUGUACUCUUGGGGAUGUUUUGACAUUAAACCUUCUGCAGGUGGGCAAACCUAUAAAUACAAUUCUCACCUCUGUCUUAAUAGGAAAUAGUUUGCACUCCUAGAUGACGUGCAGAGAUGAGAUCUGACAGCAUUUGUACACUUUCUUCUAAUUUAACUUGCAUGCUCAGUAAGACAGAAGCUGCAACAUCACCCAUCGCCCACACAUUUUAUUCAGAGUAAAACAAGGUGGGCAUUCGUGUGGGACCAAGCUGGUGAAUGAAGGGAGACUGAAGAGACCCGGUUGAUGUGUGGGUGUUGUGUUCAUACAUAUGAGUAUUGGUGAUUUCCCCUUAAUAUGUCAGAAUAAAAGCAGGAUGGAAAAGUCACAUCAAACCACUGUGAAUGAGCCACAGUUUUUCCAUCACCUGAUUACUAUCAGAGCUUCAGUUCAGAUGACUGUCCCAUGCAAAAUGUGAACUUCCAUGAACUGGAAACCUACUUUGACACUGACAAGCCAUGCAAAUCAUCUCAGAUUACCUUUCUCUCUCUAGCCUCACCGUUAGUAGCUGUUACUCAGCCCAGCCCUGUGCAUGUGUACGUGUGUUUGUGCAGAACGCCCACAGAGAGAUGUUUCAUUAGGGUGGAGGCUCUGUGAAGUCAGUACUAGGUAAACACUCAGCUCCAAGCUUGUAGUUAAAAAUCUGCAGUGCCAUCAAAAGCCUGUAAGCUGUUACUUUUCACUUCCCCUGCUGAGAUACAUCAGAUUCACAAAUGUUGUAUUUCUGUGUGUCUUUGUGUGCAGAAGGGUGCAGUCUCUGCUUCAAAGGGACUAUUUUCUCAGUAGUGUCACUCUUUUUGUCCCAUUUUGCUAAAUGUUUGAUUCAUGAGUAUGUGUCUAGUAUUGUAUCACUAUUCAUACUUAUUUUAUUUCCUUUUUUUAUGAAGGUGUAGGAUUUCCAUUAAUGCUAAUAAUAGUCAUAAAACGACAACUAUUUAACAUUGCUCAAUGACAUAAAUACUAUCUGCCACAAAAGCAUCCAGAUAAUAUAUUAUUUUGAUGUGAUGGACCAACACAAAGACGUGUUACUUUAGUAAGAGUUACUUUGAGGUGGAUGGAAGAUGAGACAUGGUUUUUAAAUUUUUACACAUAAAAAAUUGUAGUGCACAUUUGUAUUCUGCCCCCUAUACUCUGAUCUCCCUAAAUAAAAUCAAAUGUAAACAUUUCCCUUCAUAAGUUGCAUAGGUAGCAAACAGAGUCCACUUGUGUGUAAUUAAAUCUCUGCACAAACACAGCUGUUCUGUGAAGGCUUCUGAGGUUUAUGAGAGGACGUUGAUGAACAUGGAUCAGUCAUCUAAAAAUGGAAACAGUGUGGCAAAACUGCAAACCUACCUACACAUGGCCAUCUACUUGAACUGACAGGCCAGACAUGGUGAGCAAUCCCGAGAGAAGCAUCCCCUGAGCCCAUGGUAACUCUGGAGGAGCUGCAGAGAUUCAUAGCUCAGAUAGGAGAAUUAGUAUUAGUAUAAGUCGUGCACUUCAAGAAUCUAAUCUUUAUGCAAGAGUGACAAGAAGAAAGCUAAAGCCAUAAGAAGUCCUGUUUAAAGUUGGCCACUAGCAGGGGACACAAGUGAAAGAAGUGGACAUGUGAAAGAAGGAAUUUAUAUUUUGGCCCAGAAGAAACAUAAUACACACAAUGCAAAAUUCAUUGUGUGCUGGAAAGUUGUCAUGAUCCUCGGACCUUUGCUUUUGCAUUUUGUAAUCUUGUUCUCUACUCUAAGUCUUUGAGGAUAUUACAUAGAGUGGGGCCUUAAACUGCAGUAAUUAAGGGCACGUGACCCACAACCUUUAGAUGUGUCCAAGGUCCAACCAACCUGAAUCAAAUCACCUCCUAAGCAUGCAUCAAGUUCUACAGAGCCCUAUUAAUGACCAAAUUAUUUUAUUCAGGUGUGUUGGGCAAGGACACAUCAUAAAAUUGCAGGAUAUUGUCCCCCAAUGACACCUGGGAUGUGGUUUCAUUUCUAGUUUCAUUUUGGUGUCCUUGUCUUUUUGUGCACAGUGCUCCAUCUCCUUCCCGUCUUCCUUGUUAAUGACUUUCUUUGUCACUUUUGUAUGUUGUAUCCUGGCCAUGUCUGUGUUAAUCAAUGCUCUUUUUAGUUGCUGUUUCCUUUUGUUUCCCUUUUCUGUCUAUCAGACAUUCCUUUCCAGUUUUCCAUCAGUUCUUUAUAGAUCUCUGUCAUAUCACUAUUUCUGUGUACAGGUUGUUUGGGUUGCUUCUGCUUUCUCACUUCUUUCAGGGUGUGACCAGCAGGUGCAGCCUCCACAGCUGCAGCCUGUUGAGGCUCAUCAGGAGGUGCUUAAAGAUUUCCUGGAUUCCCAGAACAGAAUCUCGUGAAGAUCUCCUGGUAUCGAACACCAGAAAGUUGCAUUCCUUAAAUUGUCGUCUACAGGGGAACCCCAUUGUUAAGACCUUCUUCUCAGUUUUCACAACUGCAGCUUAUCUGGUGCUCACACGGAAACUUUCACCAUCACUGCCUUUAUACUCACCUGCCUGUCCACCCUCCCUUAUGCCUCAUAUUCCAGCUGCAAAAAGACUAUUACCACAACCCAAACUUCUGUCAAACCCAGUUCAGUGACCUGACCACUUUUCCUUGGUUCAUCCUCCACUCCUAGAAUGGUAAGAAUAUCUCUACUGUUAUACAAACUCAUUCCAUUCAAAACCCAGCCUAACUGUUUCUCUCCGCCUAGUGGCUGCCUGGAGACCUGCCCUGAAUCCUACUGAUUUUUAUUUUCCUUCUCUCAUCUUGUUGAAAGAAUGAGAAAUAAAUCUCAACACUUCCCUGCUUUGUCGUGAUUGCAACCAGUUCAGAGUCCUUAAAAACAAAUGACAAUCCCUGCCUUUUCCCAAAGCUGUGACCUAUAGUCCGUUAUACCCAACUGAUCUUUGCUCCAGUAAUUGCCCUCCCCUGCGUUCAUCCUCUGCUUUAUAUUUCAGGCUUUGUCAGAUCCGAUUGCUGCUGUGGGUAUUCUCUCAUUUUGUACUCCAGACUUCUUCCAUGCUUUGUUUGCCUUUUUUCAACUUGGGUUAUUUGAUGGCUUUGUUUCACUGUUCUUGUAACCUGGACUAUAUUAAAAAAUAAACCUUACAAUUUUGUCCUCCUAACUGCAUUUGGCUUAUCUGUCACUUCAAUAUAUGGUGCUAAAUCACCCUGAAAUGGUAAAACUGUUGUGAAAGCAUCAUGCUUAGGGAGUGCUUUUCUUGAGGAGGGACUGGAAACUUGGUUAAUGGAGCUAAACACUAGUAAGAAGACUCAGGCAGAGAUUCAUCUUCCAGUAGAACAACCAGAGCUACAAUGGAAUGGCUUACAGUAAAAUAUAUCCAUGACUUAGGAGGACCUAGUGAAAGUCCAGCCCUAGGUCCAAUUGGAUCUGUGGCAAGACUUGAACUGCUGUUCACUGACAUGUCAGGAAUCCAGAGGUUUGUGAUGUCCUUCUGUUUGGAGUUCUUAGGUUCUCCCCUGGAGGGCGCAUGACUACCUGAAUGUGAUUGCUGCACACCUGUUCUGGAUUAAGCUCUAUGGAGGAGUAUAUGAGGAGCUGGCUACCAGUCCUUUGACACUUGACUGUUAACCUGUAGUGGUAACACAAGCCUCCUGAAUGUCCUUGUUUACUAAUGAGCCUGCUUAGUCUGACACAUUCCUCGUGUGUAUGUGUGUUCCUUGUUCAAGGUUUUCCUGUGCUGACUUCAGGCGUACAUUGGAAAGCUCCUGAAUUUCAAGCCAUCUACCUCCUAACACAAACUUCUAGACAAUCACCUUUGUGGCGGGCAACCUUAAAGCUCAUUUCUCUCACCUCUGUGCAACCUGUCCAUCCUCCAACGCUCAAGCCAAAACCCUCCGACUUCUCCUGCCUCAUUGCCCUACUUAUUCACCUUACACACUCGGACCUCACCCUGGAUUCACGCAUUCCCCUGGCGUCCUCCUCUUCAUCUACCAGUAAACUUCCACUAUUUUCCCUCCAUAAUUUUCUGGUCUUUCAACCCCUGCUGACAUCUCUCCUCCCCAGUGACGCUGCAGUCUCAGAUCCCAGAGAAGCUUCCGGUCAAGAUCUAUUCUCAUCAUUGUUUUUUAAUAAACCCUCUAAAUCGUU